GACUAACGCUGGCGGCGUGCUUAACACAUGCAAGUCGAACGGAAAGGCCCUGCUUUUGUGGGGUGCUCGAGUGGCGAACGGGUGAGUAACACGUGAUUAACCUGCCCUUGACUUUGGGAUAACUUCAGGAAACUGGGGCUAAUACCGGAUAGGAGCUCCUGCUUCAUGGUGGGGGUUGGAAAGUUUCGGCGGUUGGGGAUGGACUCGCGGCUUAUCAGCUUGUUGGUGGGGUAGUGGCUUACCAAGGCUUUGACGGGUAGCCGGCCUGAGAGGGUGAGCGGCCACAUUGGGACUGAGAUACGGCCCAGACUCAUACGGGAGGCAGAAGUAGGGAAUAUUGCACAAGGGGCGGAAGCCUGAUGCAGCAACGCCGCGGGCGGGAUGACGGCCUUCGGGUUGUAAACCGCUUUCGCCUGUGACGAAGCGUGAGUGACGGUAAUGGGUAAAGAAGCACCGGCUAACUACGUG
rnacentral:rRNA from 1 species